rnacentral:rRNA from 1 species
GACACGGUCCAAACUCCUACGGGAGGCAGCAGUGAGGAAUAUUGGUCAAUGGACGAGAGUCUGAACCAGCCAAGUAGCGUGCAGGAUGACGGCCCUAUGGGUUGUAAACUGCUUUUAUAAGGGAAUAAAGUGAGAGUCGUGGCUCUUUUUGCAUGUACCUUAUGAAUAAGGACCGGCUAAUUCCGUGCCAGCAGCCGCGGUAAUACGGAAGGUCCGGGCGUUAUCCGGAUUUAUUGGGUUUAAAGGGAGCGUAGGCCGGAGAUUAAGCGUGUUGUGAAAUGUAGACGCUCAACGUCUGCACUGCAGCGCGAACUGGUUUCCUUGAGUACGCACAAAGUGGGCGGAAUUCGUGGUGUAGCGGUGAAAUGCUUAGAUAUCACGAAGAACUCCGAUUGCGAAGGCAGCUCACUGGAGCGCAACUGACGCUGAAGCUCGAAGGUGCGGGUAUCGAACAGGAUUAGAUACCCUGGUAGUCCGCACGGUAAACGAUGGAUGCCCGCUGUUGGUCUGAAUAGGUCAGCGGCCAAGCGAAAGCAUUAAGCAUCCCACCUGGGGAGUACGCCGGCAACGGUGCAACUCAAAGGAAUUGACGGA